rnacentral:rRNA from 1 species
GAUGAACGCUGGCGGCGUGCCUAAUACAUGCAAGUCGAGCGAAUGGAUUAAGAGCUUGCUCUUAUGAAGUUAGCGGCGGACGGGUGAGUAACACGUGGGUAACCUGCCCAUAAGACUGGGAUAACUCCGGGAAACCGGGGCUAAUACCGGAUAACAUUUUGAGCCGUAUGGUUCGAAAUUGAAAGGCGGCUUCGGCUGUCACUUAUGGAUGGACCCGCGUCGCAUUAGCUAGUUGGUGAGGUAACGGCUCACCAAGGCAACGAUGCGUAGCCGACCUGAGAGGGUGAUCGGCCAAACUGGGACUGAGACACGGCCCGGACGCCUACGGGAGGCAGCAGUAGGGAAUCUUCCGCAAUGGACGAAAGUCUGACGGAGCAACGCCGCGUGAGUGAUGAAGGCUUUCGGGUCGUAAAACUCUGUUGUUAGGGAAGAACAAGUGCUAGUUGAAUAAGCUGGCACCUUGACGGUACCUAACCAGAAAGCCACGGCUAACUACGUGCCAGCCGCCGCAGUAA